rnacentral:rRNA from 1 species
AUUGAACGCUGGCGGCAUGCCUUACACAUGCAAGUCGAACGGUAACGCGGGGCAACCUGGCGACGAGUGGCGAACGGGUGAGUAAUGCAUCGGAACGUGCCCAGUAGUGGGGGAUAGCCCGGCGAAAGCCGGAUUAAUACCGCAUACGACCUUCGGGUGAAAGGGGGGGAUCGCAAGACCUCUCGCUAUUGGAGCGGCCGAUGUCAGAUUAGGUAGUUGGUGGGGUAAAAGCCUACCAAGCCGACGAUCUGUAGCUGGUCUGAGAGGACGACCAGCCACACUGGGACUGAGACACGGCCCAGACUCCUACGGGAGGCAGCAGUGGGGGAUUUUGGACAAUGGGCGCAAGCCUGAUCCAGCCAUGCCGCGUGCGGGAAGAAGGCCUUCGGGUUGUAAACCGCUUUUGUCAGGGAAGAAACGCUUCGAGCUAAUACCUCGGAGUAAUGACGGUACCUGAAGAAUAAGCACCGGCUAACUACGUGCCAGCAGCCGCGGUAA